UGUUUUCUUCUGCACUGUAACAGGACAACUGUCUAAGGGUUUGCAUGGGCCUUCUUCACAGCCAGGGACCUGGGUGAAAUAUAAAUCAUUAUAAAGCCCCAAACCUGUCAGAUUGGUACCAGGUCUAGAAAAGUUUUUUGUUGUUGUUUUAUUUAUUUAUUUUUAUUUUUUAGUAAAAUUGUUUCCCCAUAAGUCUUAUGUUCAGGUUGUCACUCAGGAAGCAAAAUAUCUUGCUUUUGGCAUAUCCAGCUCUUCCUGAAAUUAGUGGAGGACAGUUUGUUGCUGUACUUGGGUAAGUAUGGUCUUUUCCAGAGAGUUGAAAACGGCCCGAGUUGGGUCUCUCAGCUAUUUCACAAUGCAUCAUACCACAUAAGCAAGGAGAUGGAGCAAUAUGUCUCAAAUCAGUGUUAUUAAGCAAAGCAUCAGGGCAGCCUAACCCAGGUGGGUGCCUGAGCAGUUAAAAUAGGCAGGUGCGGACCUUCAAGCAGGAUCCUGAGUGUGUAGGGAAUGUGGGUGAUUUAACCUUCCCUGUGGAGGCUGGUUCUCAAAACAGCAUGGUCAAGCACCUGGUCUCUCCUAAACAGAUGAGUUGUUUUGCAUUCUGAUGUAAGCUGGACAUAGUACAUGUCAUGUAACAAAUGGGAUGAUUUAGCUGCUUUACCGAAUCCUCCAGUAAGUGUGCCAAGAGCUGCAGAAAUGAUGAGUGAGGUCCAGUUGGAAGACAUUCCUGCCUGACAUUGCUUUCAAAUUAGACUGUUUGCAAAGUUCUUCCAGUAAACGUGGAAAAGGGUUAGAAAAAGAGUGAGCUGGGUCUCUUGAUGUUUCCAGUAAAAUCCCAUCAUCACCUGCCACAUUAUCAUCUGUCAUAUUAUCAUAACACAUUAUUUCCCAUCAGAUCAUCAUCUUGCAUCAAAAUGGUUGUAUGAAUCUGGGAGAAACUGGAACUGCUGGGCUGCUGUGGAGCUGCAGCAAACUUGGAGAGAAUGUACCUCUGCCAGCAGUGCUGUGCUAGUCCCUUCUCUGAAAACGCUUUGGGCUUUUAGUCAGAUGCUUACCAGUAGGUCUCUGGAUGACUGAUCAGUAAAAUACAGAUCUAUGGUACAAAAUGAUGGUGUAGGCUGUGAUGAGGGAAAUGUGUGUCCCUAUCUUCCUCCAUGACCAUACCCUGUCUUUCAAAGUCUAAAAAGCAUGGAAGCAAUUUGACGAGCCGUUUCCUUACUAUAUACCUGAUACUUGUUUCUUCCUACUUGUUGGUAGGGCGAAAGGAAGUAGUUACACUCAGUGAACCACGUGGUUCCCCUGGCAGUUGGUUCUGCCAUCUAAAAUUAUGCAUUUCCCUGCUUUGUGCCGUUUAUAGAGAAGCGUCUGCCUGUAUUUUUUUCCCCUUUCAGUCUUAUUUUUCACUCCUUCCUCAGCAUGAGACAGGCUUGCUGCGUCUGCCUCUGCUUCCCAUUUGCCACGUGUGAGAGGCCGAGCAGAGGAACACUGUGUGCUGCCUCAGGACUCGGUGGGGCUGACUCGGAGAGCGUCACGGACUGAGAAAUUGCAACCGCUGGAGGAAACUCUACAAUGCUUAAGCUCAAGGCACUACAUUCCUCAUGGCUUUUCUAAAGAUCCCUGGCUAUUUUAGCCUUUUUUUUUUUUUUUUUUUUUUUUUUUUUUUCCUUUCCCCUAUGGACCAAUCAUUAAAUUGCCUGUAAGAGCUUGUGAAGAUAAAUGUCAUGUAGAUAAGUGUCCCACGCUAACUCAGCAUUUCAGUAUGUAGAAUUCAAGAGAAUGGGAAACGUGGAGGAAAAAAAAAAAAAAAAGCCUGUAGAGGGAGCUGAUCUGGAAGCAGGGCUGGUGAUCAGAGAAAUGCAAUAGCAAACCUUCGACAAACACUGUGGCCAUAUGCGCCGUGGGGGUCUGACUCAGCUUCCUUUGAAGUCAGUGAUAGUCUGCUCUUGUCUUCAGCAGCAAUUGGAUCAGCCUCGUUAAGACAAGCAUGGCCUCUAUACUAUGCUGUCUUUCUUCCAAUCUGUCUUGGCUUCCAAUAGAGACAUCAUAUGGAAGGAACAAGGACAUUUCUUUGCUCUUUCAUUGUAAAUGUGUUUUCCUUUUGCAGCAAAUACAAAUGAAUACAAAAGCACUACAGCUUGCAGAUUGUAAAUAUUCCUUGCCUUGGUCUCUGGGAUUAGAGAAGUGGUGUUGUUGAGGAGAAAUGCUGAGGCCAAAGCUGCAAACCUCUGGAGCCAGCCCAGCGGUAUGGAAACCUUCCUCAUUUUUGUGCUGCAGCACCAGCUGCCACCACAGCCCUUCCCUGAAGCUUCCUUCUGGUGUGGGAUCCACACCUGCGGGUGCCCACCAGUCUCCUGGUCUAUGUGCCUGUGGAAGGCAGUCACAGUGUACUGGGAUGGGGAUAAAGGCUGUUCUAAGGCAGUUUAGGAAAUCCUCACACAUUUGAUUUGCUUGCUUGCAGUCUUGGGUUUCUUGUCACUUGCCCUUCCUGUUCUUGACACCCAGAAACCAGUCUGUCUGUGCUGCCUGGCACUCUUUCUGCAUGUACGGUCUUUUGUGUCUCUUCCACCAAGAAGAGCACAUAUACUAAAAAGCAGUGGUUGUCUCAGGUUUGAAAACUGCUGAAGACCACGCAAAUAAAUCAUCUCUUCUAGUUCGCUGGCUGAACAAAACACUUGGUUCAAAUGUCAAACCAGGAAAACCCGGUUGUUUCAAAUUGAUCAGACGAUUUCAUUAUCAGAGAUUUCUCGGGGAAAGAGGUUAUUCUUACAAAAAAAAAAAAAGAAAAAAAAAAAGAAAAAAAAAGCAUAUUUAAUCUCAAGACAUCAUUUCAAAAUGAAAAAAAAAAGGACCUGAAGUAAAUUGAUUUUUAGGCAAAUGAUAAAAAUAAGUAAGUGCUCUUGAAUGGCAAAUCAGUCAUCUGAAGAAAUAUACGCAGCUCUAGGGAAAGGGUUAAAAUCCCUGUGGUGUCUCCACUGACCUCCACGUUACACUGAAGAGGAAUUUGGCCAGAGCUUUCUUUUGGUAGACAAUCUGAGUCAGAAAAGCAGCCUCUGCUCAUGAUUUCUUGCUCCUCCUUCUUCCCUCAUCCAAGACUUCUCAGGGCCCAUUUCUAUACUUAAUAUUUUAGAUCAACAUUUGUAAUGCUGAGUUUAGCUGGAUUCAAGCUGUUUUGUUUUACGUGGUGUCUUGGAAGGAGAAUCACCCUAAACUUUUUAAAUGCUUUACUGUUUAGAAAAAGGUUUCUUUUCAACUGAUGAACUUGUUUUUUCUCAGAAGUUUGGAUAAUAUGCAGACUAAUGUAAUAACAUUAGUAAUCUGUUUUCUCAAGGAAGUGUGUGUUUAACCAGUGUCCAAUAUAGUUGGGUGUUUUGAAAUCUGCUGAUCCAUCCUAAAAUGCUUAUUUGACCUAUACUUGACUUGGGCUUACAAGAAAUUUUAUUAUGCUAGUACUGUCCAAUUAGCUGUGUUGUUGUGAUCGUCAUAUCUAAAGCUGUAGCAUUUAAAAGUAACAUUUACUGCACAAUGUCUAUUUAUUUCUCUUCCUGCAGAAGGAGUCGAUUGGUUCCAUAGUCCUCUCAGGACAUCUGUAGCUUUAAAUUAUUUUAACAAUAUUUGUUACUUCAGAUUUAUCCUGUCCAUUGCAUUCAUCAAAGCGUCUUUCUUUUAAGUAUUUCAUGCACCUGAAGGCAUCCUUUCUGUACAGCAUGUGGACUAUUGACAGUGCAACCUCUGUAAUCAGAUUCCCUCUGGAUGAAAUAAUAGGUUGUGCCUGCCAAUUCAAACAUUCUUCAAGAGCAGCAGUUAUUCAGGCUGCUAAUUAAAACAAUGCUAAAACAUUCACUCUUGUGCUUACUUCUGACUAGAAAUCAGUAUGAUGCACUACUGAAGCAAAACCCUAGUUUUACUGGUAACGUGUGGAUGUGUGAUCUUGCUAAUUGCAAGCUCUUAUCACUAUAAUUGACGGGUCAAGCAGACCUGUGUUUCUAGGCUUAUCAGUAAACUAGAAACACAAACUGUUUUAGUUUUCUUUUGUGCAAUGAGGAAAUAUAAUAUUCUGUCUAGAACGAAAACUGACAGUCAAAAGGACAAGGGUAUUAAUUCAAGCCUUGCUCUCACUGAAAGUAACUAUACCUCAGCUGUGGCCUCUGUGAAAAGUGAAUAUUGUCUCUGUGAAUAAUAAACCAUGCUAUAGCUUUCCAUCCUCACUUCCUAAUUAACACAGUAUAUAAUAAAACCUGAACUGGAUACAAAACUUUAAUUUUACUGGUGGAGUUCAUUCCUCUUUGUGCUUCUUAGUUUAGUGAGUUCAGUAUUUCUGUGAAGACGAGUUGCUCCAUCAGUCCUUAGAUGGAAAUGGCUGCCAAAGGGUUUUGGAGCUCAUUUAAAUCUGUACUGUAAACUUUGGGUCUGGUUUUCAAAGACAGAGAAGACAAAGAUUGCAGUCUGCUUUUCGAUGUAUUUUUCAUUUAUCUCAUCUUUAGUGAUUAACAGUUCAAGCCUCCAUGUAUUACUGGCAGGAUGAGAACCCUUCCAGGCAAAACAAAUUUUACAUAAGUUGAAAAGAAUAACUGCUCAGUCAGAAGGUGUGAUAUAUUUUAAAGAAUACCCUGAGGAUGUAGCAAGGCUGGUGCAGAAAUCCUUCCCUCAUCUUUUAAAUUUUCCAAUCUUCUCUCUUGGCACUGCUGAGCUGAAGCGCUUAUUCUUUCUUUGCCUUCUCUCAGGGCAAGAGAAAAAUGAAGGUAGCAUCACAUAAAAGUUGUCUUAUUGUGUGUAAGGGUGGUAUGUCGAGAACAGUUAUUUAUUGCUAUUCGUUUCACCCGAUGAGUGGCUGCUAUAGGUUUAUAAAAUCUACUGAUAUCCUUUAAAGUAGUUAUGUGCCUUGGUUUUUAUAUAUCAAUAAAUUUUGCACAGCUGCGGAUGCUCAGAAGCACGUCUUGUGAAAUCUUUGUGUUUUAUUA